rnacentral:rRNA from 1 species
UACGGAGGGAGCUAGCGUUGUUCGGAAUUACUGGGCGUAAAGCGCGCGUAGGCGGCUUUGUAAGUUAGAGGUGAAAGCCCGGGGCUCAACUCCGGAACUGCCUUUAAGACUGCAUCGCUUGAAUCCGGGAGAGGUGAGUGGAAUUCCGAGUGUAGAGGUGAAAUUCGUAGAUAUUCGGAAGAACACCAGUGGCGAAGGCGGCUCACUGGCCCGAUACUGACGCUGAGGCACGAAAGCGUGGGGAGCAAACAGGG